rnacentral:rRNA from 1 species
AAUCAACGCUGGCGGCGUGCCUAACACAUGCAAGUCGAACGAGAAAGGGACUUCGGUCCUGAGUACAGUGGCGCACGGGUGAGUAACACGUGACUAACCUACCCUUGAGUGGGGAAUAACUUCGAGAAAUCGAGGCUAAUACCGCAUAACACCUACGGGUCAAAGGAGCAAUUCGACUUAAGGGAGGGGUCGCGGCAGAUUAGUUAGUUGGCGGGGUAAUGGCCCACCAAGACAGUGAUCNGUAUCCGGCCUGAGAGGGCGCACGGACACACU